CCAAACCAACUUAAACAAAACACAAAGUUUAAAACAUAAAACCCUAAUUUAGAGGGGGAGUGGCCGCUUUGGUGUUUACAGAAAACACAAGUAGAGUUGGUGAGAAAGAAGAAACAAAGAAUGAAGGAGAAAGAGGCAGAAAGAUACCUGAAUGAGGCCGCGAGAAGAAGACCGGAAUGAGGCCGCGAGAAGAAGACCAAGGAGGAUGGUGCGGUCGCUCCAAAAGGCACCGGUUCCAACGACGAGGGUGACGAUAUGAAGGUUUGGGUUUUCCACUUUUGUCUUUCUUUGUGCGUUUUUAAUGGUGUUAAUCUCCGAUCCCCUCCUCCUCUUUGAAAUUUUAUAGGGUAUAUUUAUAGAGUUUUUUAUGUGUUUAGUCGUUUUUUGGUCUGCAUUGGUCCUUAUCUAUCUAUUUCCUGUUUGAUGUUUCAUUUCCUUUGCUCAUCAUCUGCAUUUUUUCUACACCUCUGAUGCAUUCAUGGUUUUGACUUAUUUGUUUUGAUUUGUUCUGUUGCUGAGCUUUAAUUUGUCCCUUAGUUUAUUUUUUAAACUCAAAAUUUUGUCUCUUUUUUCUGCACAAAGUGUACCAAGACUGACUUUAAAAAAAAAUGUUUUUAUGUUUCUCUAAUUAGUUACAAAGCAAAGGUCAAUGACAACUACAUCUGAAACAGAAAGGCAGCAACAAAAUAGAGCCAAACACUGCAUCAGAAACAGAGAGGCAGAGAGGCAACAACAACAACAAAUUAAAAAUUAUUGGAAAAUAAUUUAGUUUGGUUUAAAUCUUAUUGUAAUUUAAUUUGAUUUAAUAUUUAUGGUUGCAAUUUGAUUGUAAUUGUAAUUAUAACUUGAUUUAGCAUUGUAAAUUGAUAAACCUACUUAUUGUAAAUAUAAUUAC
rnacentral:lncRNA from 1 species